GACGUAGGGUGCGAGCGUUGUCCGGAUUUAUUGGGCGUAAAGAGCUCGUAGGCGGCUCGUCGCGUCGACCGUGAAAACCCGCGGCUUAACUGCGGGCUUGCGGUUGAUACGGGCGGGCUAGAGUUCGGUAGGGGAGACUGGAAUUCCUGGUGUAGCGGUGAAAUGCGCAGAUAUCGGGAGGAACACCGGUGGCGAAGGCGGCUCUCUGGGACGGUACUGACGCUGAGACGCGAAAGCGUGGGGAGCGAACAGG
rnacentral:rRNA from 1 species